rnacentral:lncRNA from 1 species
CAGCCCCCAAAUCCCACAGGAGACUCGAAGUAAAAUCAGGGAUUUUGUUGGAAUUCCCAGGUUUUUCCCAAGUUUGGGGAAUCCCGCUGGGAAUUUGGGUUCCGGAAGGUUCCGGCUCAGGAGAAUUCCCGCAGGAAUUGGGAGUGGAAUCGGAGCAGGAGCAGCAGAGCUCGAUCCAGAGCCGGCGGCGGCAGCAGCAGCGACAGCCUGGGAACGGCAGAGGAAUGAAAUCCCAAAAAUCCACAAAUCCCAAAUCCCAAAAAUCCCAAAUCCUCAAAUUCCGGUCAGCAAAUCCCAAAAUCCCAAAAAAUCCCAAAUCCCCAAAUCCCAAAUCCCCAAAUCCCAAAUCCCAAAAAUCCCAAAUCCUCAAAUCCCAAAUCCCCAAAUCCCAAAUCCCAAAAAUCCACAAAUUCCGGAGUCAGCAAAUCCCAAAAUCCCCAAAAUCCCAAAUCCCCAAAUCCCAAAAAUCCACAAAUUCCAGAGUCAGCAAAUCCCCAAAUCCCCAAAAUCCCAAAUCCCAAAUCCCCAAAAUCCACAAAUUCCGGAGUCAGCAAAUCCCAAAAUCCCAAAAAAUCCCAAAAUCCCCAAAUCCAAAAAUCCCCAAAAAUCCCCAAAUCCCAAAUCCCAAAAAUCCCAAAUCCCAAAAUCCCAAAAUCCAAAAAAUCCACAAAUUCCAGAGUCAGCAAAUCCCAAAAUCCCAAAAUCCCCAAAUCCCCAGUCCCAAAAAUCCCAAAAUCCAAAAAAUCCACGAAUUCCAGAGUCACAAAAUCCCAAAAUCCCAAAAAUCCACAAAUUCCGGAGUCAGCAAAUCCCAAAAUCCCAAAAAAUCCCAAAUCCCAAAAUCCCAAAUCCCCAAAUCCCCAAAAUCCCAAAUCCUCAAAUUCCAGAGUCAGCAAAUCCCAAAAUCCCAAAAAUCCCAAAUCCCAAAAUCCCAAAAUCCCAAAAUCCCCAAAAAUCCCCAAAUCCCAAAUCCCAAAAUCCCCAAAAUCCACAAAUUCCAGAGUCACAAAAUCCCAAAAUCCCAAAAAUUCCCAAAUCCCCAAAUCCCAAAAUCCCAAAAAUCCUCACAUUCCAGAGUCAGCAAAUCCCAAAAAUCCCAAAUCCCAAAAAUCCCAAAUCCUCAAAUUCCAGAGUCAGCAAAUCCCCAAAUCCCAAAAAUCCCAAAUCCCAAAAUCCCAAAUCCUCAAAUUCCGGAGUCAGCAAAUCCCAAAAUCCCAAAAAAUCCCAAAUCCCCAGUCCCAAAAUUCACAA